AAUGAUAUUUGUGGACAUAUUUUUAAAGUAAUCAUGAGUGUCGUAUCUCAUUUCAAUUAUGUGAAACUAAAAUACAAAAUAUUUAUGUAUUCCAUGUAUUAUGCAUUAACGUUAUUCAUUACAAGUACUAUAUUACUUUUCUUAUAUUUUAAUCGUAUUCAACCACAUUAUUUCAUCGUUGAAGUUUUUCACAGACAAUAUGAUAUUAUGCGUGGAAUUUUACACAGUGGGAUCCAAAAAUCACUACAUUGCCAGGAUUGUAUUAUAACUGCGAUAUCAUCACCUUUUAUGUAAUAUGUGCAAUAUUACAUACAUAAGGACCGCCGCGCAUCCUGACACGACGCGGAUGACGCAUCGACCGUUCAUUCAAUCAGCUGGCUUCGACAAUGAAUCGACAAAAAUACGCCCCAAGACGGUUUCGCUUGGCGAUUGACCAGGUAACAUCGGCGCGCAAAAUAACCGGUCAAUAAAGCGUACAAGAAUCCACGGCAUCCGGACAAUUUCUGCGUAUCCCGGAGACGGAGGCGGUGCGCCUGGUGUUAUACUCUCGUCACUCGAUGAGAAUUCGACAGCAAACACGCCCGCGCAAGAGAGAAAGAGAAAUCAGUCGCCUCGCAAUAUAUUUCUCCAAAUAACGCCACGCGCACGGCCAUCAAUCGGCUAGUCCGCGUGCCGUGCUUAUUAUAGGCUUUAUCACUCGACUCACGCAUCCGAAAAUAAAUGCCGCGCGCGCCGCGAUAUACGCACAGGUGACCUUCCACCGUCGCUAUAUAGCCGCGGAAUUUCUCUAAAAUCGUGCCCGGAAUAAGAUCAACAGAUCGAGUUAAAGUGGGUUAACUUGGGACCACGCGUUCUAAAUUCGGGAUGCAUAAUUGAGAGAUGAUUCGUCCGAAAUUGAGAUCUCGAUUGGACAUUACAAUUUUAACGCUAUUACACACAAAGAAAGAAUGUUUCCUGUUAUGUAGGAGAAAAAAAUUUUUGAUUCUUCUAUGGUUUCUAUAUAAUACUGUGUAUAAAUUCCGAUUAAGAUUUCUCAAAGUAAAA